rnacentral:rRNA from 1 species
CGCAUCUGUGCAUGCAGCAUAUCAAUAAGCGGAGGAAAAGAAACUAACAAGGAUUCCCUUAGUAACGGCGAGUGAAGCGGGAAGAGCUCAAAUUUGAAAUCUUCAAGGUUUUACCUUGACGAAUUGUAGUUUAAAGAAGUGUUUUCUGUUGAAGUUUUGGUAAAAGUUCUUUGGAAUAGGACAUCAUAGAGGGUGAGAAUCCCGUAUUUGACCAUUAUUUUCAGCUGUGUGAUACACUUUCAAAGAGUCGGAUUGUUUGGGAAUGCAGUCCAAAAUGGGUGGUAAAUUUCAUCUAAAGCUAAAUAUUGGCGAGAGACCGAUAGCGAACAAGUACCGUGAGGGAAAGAUGAAAAGAACUUUGAAAAGAGAGUUAAACAGUACGUGAAAUUGUCAAAAGGGAAGCGUUUGACACCAGUGUUGUUUUCUCGAAAAUCAAUUAAAAAGAGUUUGAUUUUGUUGUGUAUUGACCUUAACAGCUUGCAUUUCAAUUUUCUUGCUUUUUUUAAUGCACUUUUCGUUUAACAAGUCAACAUCAGUUUCUUUUGUUGUAAAAAGGUCAUUGGAAGGUGGCUUUCUUCUCGGAGAAAGUGUUUAUAGCCUUUGACUCCUGCAAUCGGAGAGACUGAGGUCUGCAGCGUAGAUCCUUCGGGGUUAGAUACAUUUGUGCUAAGUUAUAGCUUUUUAUAGACAACUUGUUGACUAUGAUUAGUCUUGUAGCUUACUCGCUUAUGCUAUUUUACCUACGCUUAGGAUGUUGACACACGCGCGUGCUCG